GCGCAUCAUUAUAUCGUUAGAUAUAUCGCCCAGCCCUACUUCUAGCCAGUGUGUCCAUUCUUCAAGAGCGGCCUUGAUGGAUAAUAAUUCCUUGUUACCAAUAUCGUAAUUGUUUUCGGCUGGAGUUAACUUUCGUGAGAAGAAUGCACAAGGGUGUAACUUGCCAGGUGUUCCAUGACGCUGAGAGAGGACAGCACCGAUUCCACAGUCGGAGAUCCUUGAAAACUUCAUUAACGAAGGACUGGAAAAUUGAAGGUGCAUUGUGUCACCGGGUGACUAAUCCGAGCGGAAAUUUUCUUUUCCGGGCGGAACUGAAGUGUGGGAAAUAUACUAAUUUAAGUGAAACACGAGUUCUGUUCCGGUUGGCCCAAGGCGGGGAAAUUAUCCAAGAUACACGUCAGGUGUGGGAAGAGGACAUGUCGGAUACCGAUUGGAGGAUCGGGAAGGAAGCAGAGAUAUAAAAGGGGCUGGUUUAUGAACAGGAGCAGGGAAGUUUGUUCCGCUGUUGUUCCACACGAUACGGAAGUGGCUGGUGUGGCGUGGAUGUUGUGAUUUACGGGCUGCAACGGAGAAUCCAAGGAAAGGGGAUAUUGGAAGUGUGGAGGAAGUUAAGUGAUCAACCUUUUGUAUGUUGUGUUUACAUCUUAUUGUGGAUUGAGUUGAAGGAGCGAUCCUAUGUUUGGAAGGCCCCUGAGUGAAGGAGAUCAUUGAAUUCGUAUUGGGAGAGGACAACACUGUGUACUGUGUUGAUAGUAGUGCCUUGCGUUGGAGAUCGCUGGGAAAGACGGAGAGACUACGGUGUACGAUAUAUACGCCUGCUGUGGUCUGCCCCCUGCCUUCGUCCAUCUGACACGCCCCGCCAGGACUCUGAGCCCGAAACGGGAAUACACCACGGAUCUUCUUUCACUGAGUGUGUGGAGUGCGGUGAGUGCUGCUAUAUUGAAGUGUACACACGAGAAGAAUUGUAGUGCCUUUGUGGUGUGUGGUGUUUGUCCGUGGCUGUGUCCCCGGUCGUAGGAAGAGGCCUGACAGAGAGGAGCAGUGUAUUGGUGGCAACCACAGUCUUUACCUUAAGUAAGCUGGAGCUUGGACGUGUUGGAGGCGCCUCUGGAGGAGGUUGGAUGACGUCGCCCACACAGCGAUCUCUGUAAGCUUUUAAAUCAAAGCCUUACCCUUUCAUCCACGUGACGUUGUGUCAUUGGCCUUGUCAGCAACCACCGGCCUUGUGCGUGUCGUCUGUGCUGUCUCUUCGACGAGGGAAGCGAAGGACAACAGCCGAUCCUCCCCCGUGUGCCCCCUUGCCAAGCUGGGCGGGAAGCCCAGUAUUGUUUGCAGUCUCACCUGUAAGGCCCACCAGCCGUCAGUCAUCGACCAAACCCGUAUCUGCUUGGAAUACCGACCUCUGAAUAUCUUCAGUGAACCCCUGCACGCUAACAGCCCAGCCCUGCGAAUACUCACCUGUGUAUUGAACUCUGUUCUCACCUGAGAGCUAGAACCCCUGCACGUUAACAGCCCAGCCCUGUGAAUACCCACCCGUGUAUUGAACUCUGUAUUUACCUGAGAGCUAGAACCCCUGCACGCUAACAGCCCAGCCCUGUGAAUACUCACCUGUGUAUUGAACUCUGUAUGUGGAGUCGGCUGGAAAUUAAGGGCUGAAGUGGAGUGUGUCGAGGAAGGGCUGAAGAGGAGUGUUAUCGAGGACUGGAAUCCGUAUCUGUGGACAAAAAUAGUUCGAGUCAUUAGUAGUUUUAAAGUUUCCCCUCCCUUUUCCCCAAACUUUUAA